GAUGAACGCUGGCGGCGUGCCUAAUACAUGCAAGUCGAGCGAACAGACGAGGAGCUUGCUCCUCUGACGUUAUCGGCGGACGGGUGAGUAACACGUGGAUAACCUACCUAUAAGACUUGGAUAAUUUCGGGAAACCGGAGCUAAUACCGGAUAAUAUAUUGAACCGCAUGGUUCAAUAGUGAAAGACGGUUUUGCUGUCACUUAUAGAUGGAUCCGCGCCGCAUUAGCUAGUUGGUAAGGUAACGGCGUACCAAGGCAACGAUGCGUAGCCGACCUGAGAGGAUGAUCGGCCACACUGGAACUGAGACACGGUCCAGACGCCUACGGGAGGCAGCAGUAGGGAAUCUUCCGCAAUGGGCGAAAGCAUGACGGAGCAACGCCGCGUGAGUGAUGAAGGUCUUCGGAUCGUAAAACUCUGUUAUUAGGGAAGAACAAAUGUGUAAGUAACUAUGCACGUCUUGACGGUACCUAAUCAGAAAGCCACGGCUAACUACGUG
rnacentral:rRNA from 1 species